UCUCUACAAUUCUAAAGCCAUUUCAAGUAAGGAGUCCUUUCCCCAUGUUACAAAUGUACAAAUAUUUGUCCUCAGAAAAGCAGCUCACUCUCAAGGCAUCCUUUAGAUGCCAGUAGAAUGCCCAGGGCUAAGGGCCUCUAAUGGGGCUUAAGAUGCCACAUGGCACAUAAUACACAAUAAAUUGUGAUCUGAUAGCCUGAACAUGUGAUAUGAGCUUAAAACAGAAGGCUUUCCUUAUCUUUUCAAAUAUGCAAAUUGGAGAACACAUUGCUCAUUACAAAUAUUAUCUAAACAAAUUUCAAUUGACAACUUCAUAGGAAGCUUUCAAGUGUCAUAGUUUCUUCCUAUUUGAAACAAAUAGUCUGUCUUACUUUUAAAAAGUUCAGCUCCCAGUCACAGACUCUACCUUGGGCAUACCUGAGGCUAGCCAUCAGAAUGCUUGUAUUUACAAGGGGGUGGUGAUCCUAGGCAACCUGUUGCCUCAAUUGUCUUGUCUGUAAAAGAGCAUAAAACUCAGGAGGUAGAUGAUAGUUAAACAGAUUAGUUGACAUAUUAGACAAAAUGGCUAACACUUGGAAACACCUGAUAAUGGGUGUUAUCCACAGCAGCAGCAGUGUCAUUGUCAGCAUCAUAAUUUUAGACACUAUUAGGUGGCCAAUCACAGCUCUAGGGUAUGAACAGUUGCUGGCCCUCUCUACUGGUUAAUUUUUCUUUUCUAGAGCAAAUGUUAUCCAUGAAGUGAACAUAGGUCUAUACAGCAAUUGGAGCACCCACUAAAAUAAGAGUAUGGAAGACUGCAUUAAGAGGAAGGAUGAAACAGAUGCAAUACACAGUUAAGAUCAAAGAGCCCCAUCAAUUCAUUCAGAGAGUCAAAAAUCCAGCUGAGGCUCAGAGCCCUGUCUGCAUAAUAAGAAAGGUUGACUAAAACAUACGGAUUAAACAGAUGAGCUGUCUCCUGCAGAGGCAUGGGAGGGAAGCCCCACUGCGACACUUGUAAAGACACUUUGGAAGCUCGCACCUGCUCCUCCACAGCCAAACCUACAGGAGACCAGGAUGGCCAAAGACGUUCCACUAUUGUACUAAAUUGUUAGCUUUAAGAGAAAGAAAUAGAUAUGUCUGAUGGAUAUCUUUUUAUUUGUCAAGACACUGUCAGUCCAGACAAACAAUAAAUUAAUAAAUCACCUCCAUUUUUCCAAGGUGACUUUACCAAGCGCUUGAACUUUCAAAAUAAGAGAAGUAGAUAGUGCAAAAUUUCCUGUUCCUUAAAACAGUAUUUCAGUGUGCCUACCUCGUGAUCAAUUAUUUUUUCCAAAUGAAUAAUGCUUUUCUUGAGACAAUCUUGAAUAACAUUGGUAAAUACAUGCUAGUCUUGUUUUCCAUUCUCAGAAAAUUAUCAUUUUUAGUAGCAUGAAGUGUAUUUCAAUUUUUAUGAACACAUUGCCACAUUAUACUUAAAGCAAAACCAAAUUAUAUAAGCUGGUUCUAUAACUAUAGUAAGAAGAUAGCACAGGCACUUAGGAUUCUGUGCCUGUGAGAAAUGUUGUAUUUAUUCUAAUGACCUCACAAAAAAGUUAUGUUGUAGCUACUGAUAAGAACCGAUUCUGAACAUCUAAACAAUUUUCUUUUAAGAAAGCUGAACUACUUUCAAAGAGCUAAGCAAGCUAGGCCUUUGGGAACAUAGAUCUACUGGGGAAAAAAUUAUACGAUUGUGGAAC
rnacentral:lncRNA from 1 species